rnacentral:rRNA from 1 species
AGGGCGAUUGGUGGAUGCCUAGGCAUUAACAGGCGAUGAAGGGCGUAACAGACUGCGAUAAGUUGCGGGGAGCUGUCAAUAAGCAUUGAUCCGUGAAUUCCCGAAUGGGGAAACCCACCGCUUCGGCGGUAUCAAUGACUGAAUACAUAGGUUAUUGAAGCGAUACCAGGAGAACUGAAAUAUCUAAGUAACCUGAGGAAAAGAAAUCAACCGAGAUUCCGAAAGUAGUGACGAGCGAAAUCGGAGGAGUCUAGUGCCUUUGAAAUUAAAAGCAGAAUUGUAUGGAAUGACAAACGAUACAAGGUGAAAGUCCUGUAAGCGUAGCCUAAUUUUAAAGGACAAAAGUAGGGCGGGGCACGUGGAACCCUGUUUGAAGAUGGGAGGAUCUCCUUCCAAGACUAAAUACUCGUUAAUGACCGAUAGUGAACUAGUACCGUGAGGGAAAGGUGAAAAGAACCCCGGUUAGGGGAGUGAAAUAGACACUGAAACCGAUUGCUUACAAGCAGUCAGAGCAGGAGUUUACUCUUGUGAUGGCGUACCUUUUGCAUAAUGGGCCAGCGACUUAUUAUAAUUGGCAAGCUUAAUCCUUGUUAGGUGGAGGCAUAGCGAAAGCGAGUCUUAAAGUGGCGCCAAGUCGAUUGUAAUAGACCCGAAACCAGAGCGAGCUAUCCAUGGGCAGAUUGAAGGUGGAUUAAUCUCCACUGGAGGAUCGAACUGGUGACCGUUGCAAUGGUUUCGGAUGACCUGUGGAUAGGAGUGAAAGGCUAACCAAGCCUGGACAUAGCUGGUUCUCUACGAAAACUAUUUAGGUAGUGUGUCGUGUAAAUUGUUAAUUGGGGGUAGAGCUACUGAUUGGACGAGGGGAACUCAUCCUUCUGCCGAAUUCAGUCAAACUCCGAAUACCAAUUAAUUUACCAUGAUAAACAGAAUGUGGGGGAGAAGCUCCAUGUUCGAGAGGGAAAGAGCCCAGACCGACGUCUAAGGUCCCAAAAUUAUUGCUAAGUGUUAUUGAAGGAAGUGGAAGAACUUUAACAGCUAGGAUGUUGGCUUAGAAGCAGCCAUCAUUUAAAGAAAGCGUAACAGCUCACUAGUCUAGUUUUUCUGCGCCGAAGAUGGCCGGGACUAAAGCAAUAUACCGAAGACACGGGAUUAAAGAGAUUAUUGAUAAGUGUUUCACUUGUCUAAUUGUUUUAUUUGUUUUUUUUAUGAAGUUUAAAAAUUUUUUAGCAGUUGUUGCUAUUGCAACAAUUUCAGUUGCUUGCUUAAAGAUUCCUAAUCAAUUAGUUGUCUUGAAUGAUGGAACAGUACCUGAACAGUACAGGACAGGUACAGCAUGUUCAAUUCUUAGUCUUGGAGAUAACUCCAUUGCAACCGCAGCAAGAAACGGUGGCAUUAAAAAAGUUGUAUCUUCAUCAGUGAGUAAUUAUUUUGGAUUAGUAAUUUGUACCCAUGUUCAAGGAAAUUAAUUUAAAAGUAAUUAAGCAAUAGUUACCAUAGCAUAGAUGAUUUGUGCUAUGGUAAUAAACGCUGUUCAAUAAUCUCUUUAAUCGGUAGUAGAGCGUUCUGUAAGCCGGCGAAGGCGCAUCGGUGAGAUGUGCUGGAGGUAUCAGAAGUGCGAAUGCUGGCAUGAGUAGCGUAAUGCAUGUGAGAGACAUGCACACCGUAUACCCAAGGUUUCCUAUGUUAAGGUAAUCUGCGUAGGGUUAGCCGGUACCUAAGGUAAAGCCGAAAGGCGUAGCCGAUGGAAAUCAGGUUAAUAUUCCUGAGCCUGCAGAUAGUGACAGAUUAUAUGAUAAAUGUAUGAUUAUUGGAUUUUGUAUGUUUUGAAUAUAGUCUCGAGAAAUAGCUCUGCAUAUAGGCCGUACUGUAAACCGACACUGGUGGGUGAGUAGAAUAUACUAAGGUGAUUGGGAGAACUAUGCUGAAGGAACUCUGCAAAUUGCAUCUGUAACUUCGGGAAAAAGAUGACCAUCUAUCGGCAACGGUGGAAUGGUGGCACAUAAAUGGGGGUAACGACUGUUUACCAAAAACACAGGGCUCUGCGAACACGUUUAAGUGGAUGUAUAGGGUCUGACGCCUGCCCGGUGCUGGAAGAUUAAGAAAAGGGGUGCAAGCUCUGGAUUGAAGUCCCAGUAAACGGCGGCCUUAACCUUGAAGGUCCUAAGGUAGCGAAAUUCCUUGUCGGGCAAGUUCCGACGCGCAUGAAUGGCGUAACGAUUUCCCCACUGUCUCCAGCAUAGACCCAGCGAAGUUGAAUUUGUCGCGCUAAUGCGAUAUACCCGCAGCUAGACGGAAAGACCCUAUGAACCUUUACUACAACUUUACAUUGAUAUUGGGAAUUAAAUGCGUAGAAUAGGUGGUAGAAUUUGAGACUGUGGCUCCGGUUGCAGUUGAUUCGACAAGUGAAAUACCACUCUUUUGGUUUUUAAUAUCUAAUCAAAUUCCGUUAAGUGGAAUUGUGACAGUGUAUGGUGGGUAGUUUGACUGGGGCGG